CCGGCCGGGGCCGUGCCAAGCCGGGAUUGACGCGCUGCCAGCGUUGCCUUGGCGGAGCGUAGGCAGGGCACGCUCAGCAAACAGCUCUGCCCUGCGACAUGGCCACGCUCGCACAGAAAAUCCUUGGCAGAGGUGUGAAGAAAAGGAAGCCUCAGUUAAGCAGAAUAUCCUCUUCUCUUCUAAAUCCUGAAGGCACAGGCUUUUUUAGCCCCUGGGGUUCAAGCAGCUGAGGAGUCGAGGAUCAGAGAGUGUGUGUGAAUCACUCAAGAAGCAAUGAUUUUCCUCCACUGUGAAAAUCUGUCAUUCAGGCCUUCACUCAAGAAAAAAAAGGUGGUUUCUCUCUCCAGCUCCAGUGUCCAACUCUGAAACCCACCCAAGUCUUAGAGCCUUCCAAGGUGCAUCUCAGAGUUGCUGAUCCAGAAGAAGAUCCAGAAGAAGCAGUGCUGGGAAGAUCUAGUGCUCCUCCUAGCCAGAAAGAUCCAGUCUCUGCUUGAAGGAACUGACUGUCUCCUGUGAGAUAUAAUACAUGUGGCUGCUCUGUCUCUCACAUGGCAUUUCUUUGCUUGUGUUACAAAAAGUAGAGGUGGAGGCUAUACAUUAAAGCAAGUAUAUCAUAAA